rnacentral:pre_miRNA from 10 species
GUACCUGCAUACUUAGGCCUGGCGAAGUGCAUUGCGUUGUCAUGGUCGUAUUGCACUCGUCCCGGUCUAUGUAUCUGGUAA